rnacentral:rRNA from 1 species
CCUACGGGUGGCUGCAGUGGGGAAUAUUGCACAAUGGGGGAAACCCUGAUGCAGCGACGCCGCGUGAGCGAUGAAGUAUUUCGGUAUGUAAAGCUCUAUCAGCAGGGAAGAAAAUGACGGUCCCUGACUAAGAAGCCCCGGCUAACUACGUGCCAGCAGCCGCGGUAAUACGUAGGGGGCAAGCGUUAUCCGGAUUGACUGGGUGUAGAGGGAGCGUAAACGGCGGUGCAAGCCAGAUGUGAAAGCCCGGGGCUCAACCCGGGGACUGCAUUUGGAACUGGGCUGCUAGAGUGUCGGAGAGGCAGGCGGAAUUCCUGGUGUAGCGGUGAAAUGCGUAGAUAUUAGGAGGAACACCAGUGGCGAAGGCGGCCUGCUGGACGAUGACUGACGUUGAGGCUCGAAAGCGUGGGGAGCAAACAGGAUUAGAUACCCGAGUAGUC